GACUGCCUGGCUCAGUUGGUAGAGCACCUGAAUACAAAUCCGGAGUCCGCGGGUUUAAAUCCCGCCGGUAGUCG
rnacentral:tRNA from 1 species